rnacentral:rRNA from 1 species
GAUGAACGCUGGCGGCGUGCCUAAUACAUGCAAGUCGAGCGAACGGACGAGAAGCUUGCUUCUCUGAUGUUAGCGGCGGACGGGUGAGUAACACGUGGAUAACCUACCUAUAAGACUGGGAUAACUUCGGGAAACCGUAGCUAAUACCGGAUAAUAUUUUGAACCGCAUGGUUCAAAAGUGAAAGACGGUCUUGCUGUCACUUAUAGAUGGAUCCGCGCUGCAUUAGCUAGUUGGUAAGGUAACGGCUUACCAAGGCAACGAUGCAUAGCCGACCUGAGAGGGUUAUCGGCCACACUGGAACUGAGCCACGGUCCAGACUCCUACGGGAGGCAGCAGUAGGGAAUCUUCCGCAAUGGGCGAAAGCCUGACGGAGCAACGCCGCGUGAGUGACGAAGGUCUUCGGAUCGUAAAACUCUGUUAUUAGGGAAGAACAUAUGUGUAAGUAACUGUGCACAUCUUGACGGUACCUAAUCAGAAAGCCACGGCUAACUACGUG